UGCCCGAAUGAGAAUUAUGUUGUGGGGUUUCAAUUCCGCAGAAAUGAUCAGGUUCGAUGUUCUGCCCUGAUGAGAGUAGAUUGUGUUGGGAUCCUGAUAGUGACAGGUUUUCACAGUGGGGUAGGCCAAGAGUGAGAGACACGCCAUUGUUGCCAUGAAAUGUUGGUGCAGCAAGCUGAUGAUGAUGAUGGUGAUUAUCAGGAUUAAACCUUCCGAUUUCAGGUCCCAUUGAAAACAUGCCAAAUCCACCACCAGGAUCAUUAAUGCUACUCCGCGAAUUCUGCAUCUCAGCAUUCCUUGGUUUCUUCUGGCUUCUUUGAACAAAUCCUUCGAGAUGAUGAUCGGAUGGUCCAAUGAGAUUGAACCCGG
rnacentral:lncRNA from 1 species